UAGGGAAUCUUCGGCAAUGGACGAAAGUCUGACCGAGCAACGCCGCGUGAGUGAAGAAGGUUUUCGGAUCGUAAAACUCUGUUGUUAGAGAAGAACAAGGACGUUAGUAACUGAACGUCCCCUGACGGUAUCUAACCAGAAAGCCACGGCUAACUACGUGCCAGCAGCCGCGGUAAUACGUAGGUGGCAAGCGUUGUCCGGAUUUAUUGGGCGUAAAGCGAGCGCAGGCGGUUUCUUAAGUGUGAUGUGAAAGCCCCCGGCUCAACCGGGGAGGGUCAUUGGAAACUGGGAGACUUGAGGGCAGAAGAGGAGAGUGGAAUUCCAUGUGUAGCGGUGAAAUGCGUAGAUAUAAGGAGGAACACCAGUGGCGAAGGCGGCUCUCUGGUCUGUAACUGACGCUGAGGCUAGAAAGCGUGGGGAGCAAACAGG
rnacentral:rRNA from 1 species